rnacentral:rRNA from 1 species
GCUGGCGGCAGGCCUAACACAUGCAAGUCGGACGGUAGCACAGAGGAGCUUGCUCCUUGGGUGACGAGUGGCGGACGGGUGAGUAAUGUCUGGGGAUCUGCCCGAUAGAGGGGGAUAACCACUGGAAACGGUGGCUAAUACCGCACAACGUCGCAAGACCAAAGAGGGGGACCCUCGGGCCUAUCACUAUCGGAUGAACCCAGAUGGGAUUAGCUAGUAGGCGGGGUAAUGGCCCACCUAGGCGACGAUCCCUAGCUGGUCUGAGAGGAUGACCAGCCACACUGGAACUGAGACACGAUCCAGACUCCUACGGGAGGCAGCAGUGGGGAAUAUUGCACAAUGGGCGCAAGCCUGAUGCACCCAUGCCGCGUGUAUGAAGAAGGCCUUCGGGUUGUAAAGUACUUUCAGCGGGGAGGAAGGCGGUGAGGUUAAUAACGGGUGCCGAUUGACCCCCACCCCCCACAAGAAGCACUGGCUAUCUCCGUGCCAGCAGCCGCGGUAAUACGGAGGGGUGCAAGCGUUAAUCGAAAUUACUGGCGUAAAGCGCACGCGGCGGUCU